GGAGCGGCUCGAGCGGUCGCCGGCGCGGCGUGGCUCGCCACCCGCGCGGGAGGAAAGUCCGAGCUCCGCAGGGCAGGGUGCCAGGUAACGCCUGGUGGGGGCGACCCCGAGGAAAGUGCCACAGAGAGCAGACCGCCGCGCCGCAUCGCGCCGCGCGGUAAGGGUGAAAGGGUGAGGUAAGAGCUCACCGGGCCGGUGGUAACACCGGUCGCACGGCAAACCCCACCUGGAGCAAGAUGGAAUAGGGGAGCGUUCGAGGGCGGCCCGCCCGAGCUCCCGGGUUACAUCGCUCGAGGCGCGCGGCGACGCGCGCCCUAGAUGAAUGGCCGCUGCCCGCUCCGCGGUGACGCGCGCGGGUACAGAACUCGGCUUAUGAGCCCUCCAGCC
rnacentral:RNase_P_RNA from 1 species